CAUACAUCCAACGAUACUUUCCUGACUGGCACCACAACUGUAAAUUGUUCCUCUAUCGAUAAUGCCGGAAACACUGGCAGUUGCACUCUCUUUGUAACUGUCACAGACAACGAAGCACCUACUCUGAGUUGCUCCAAUGUAACAUCCACUACGGAUGACGGACUACAUUCAUCGUCAAGUGUUGUUAUAAGCUCAACCGCAACUGACAAUGUGGAUGCAGAUCUUAAUGUGAUUUGUUCCCAUACAUCCAACGAUACUUUCCUGACAGGCACCACAACUGUAAAUUGUUCCUCUACCGAUAAUGCCGGAAACACUGGCAGUUGCACUCUAUUCGUAACAGUCACAGACAACGAAGCACCUACUCUGAGUUGCUCUAAUGUAACAUCCACUACGGAUGACGGACUACAUUCAUCGUCAAGUGUUGUUAUAAGCUCAACCGCAACUGACAAUGUGGAUGCAGAU